AUGAAUCGUAUAAAAAUAAGUAAAAAGAGGAACCUGAGUGGUGGAUAUUUGAUGUGGAUAUGCGGAGAACCAUUGCUUCGAGCUUCCCCGGCAAUCCAUCAAAGGUGGUGGAGGUCACGUCGAACGCGGUUUGCAAUUCAAAGGUUUUUGAGCGGCACCGCUGAUGGCAGUUGGUGGUCUUCGGAGUUCUUACGAUCUGCAGAGUCAGAUGUUUUUGGCGAAGAGCAAGACGCAGAGGCAUGUGAAGGAACUUUAUGUUUAUCGGUUCUACUUCUUUUUUCUGCCUUUCUGCAAAUACAACAAGCAAAAGACAAACAAUAA